AACACUGUUAACCUGCGGUACCUGCGGAGGGAUCAUUACACAAAUGAAAAUAUGAAGGCCCUUCAAACCGGCUGGAUUAUUUUUCUUCACCCUUGUCUUUUGCGCACUUGUUGUUUCCUGGGCGGGUUCGCUCGCCACCAGGACCACACCAUAAACCUUUUUGUUAAUGCAAUCAGCGUCAGUAAAAAGUAAUAAUUAUUUUACAACUUUCAACAAUGGAUCUCAGAUCGGAAGAGCACA
rnacentral:misc_RNA from 1 species